GGAGGGAGCCGGGAAGCGGAAGCGGCGAGCGCGCCGGGAGCGCAGCUGCGGGCCUGGGGGCGGCAGGAGCCGCGGAGCCGGCCCGGGAGCGGGGCUGCCGGAGCGGGCGGCCGAGACAAUGGCGACGAUAUCUUUGUUAUCUGACAAGAGUCAUCCUAAACAAAAUACAUCAGCCAAGAAAGACGGUUUAAAAAAUGGUGAUAUAAAUGUAGACUUUGAUCAACUGAAACUUGAUGAUAAAGUUUUUCUACAAGCAGAAAUGAAUGCUGAACCCUUACGAAGAGAUAAAGGUUAUUUGGUACAUAUUGGUGGUCUCUGUCCUUCAGUAUCUGAGGCUGAUUGAAGGUCUCAUUUGCAGAAAUACCAAGUUUCUGAAAUUUCAAUUUAUGAUUCUUCUACUAAUUACAGACAUGCAUCUCUUGCUUUCCAAAAAAAAGAAAACAGUGAUGUAAAGAUGGCUGUGAAAGGAAUGAUGCCAAAAAGAGUGAAAACUCAGCCCAGAAGAGGGAAGAACAGAUGGACUCAAGAGACAUUUGAGGGGACCAUUCAGUCUAGCCUGGGAGGGAAAAAAAUGAAACUGCAAAGAAAUGUCAAGCACAUGAACACAGCUAGACAACAAUCCAAGGCAAGAUGAAUGUCAGAAGAUUUUGGCAUCCUGGAAAAAACUCACCAUGGACUUUGGUUAUUCAGAAUUAGCUACUUCUGUAAGGCUAUCAUGUAAAAUAAAAUAAUAAUGAUAACAGUGGUAAAGUAUACCUGCCAUCCACUUUCACAAUAAGAUACAUAAGAAGAAUAAGUCAAUAUAGAUUGAAAGGAGAAUACAAUGAAUAAUUCCAUGAAGAAUCCUUGGAAUUACAUAAGCAGCAUAAUAACAGGUAGUUUUUCAAACUAACUUAUUUACAAAGAAGUAACUUAGGAAUGGCCAUUCUCCUCCUCUCUAAUAAUUCUAAGAGAGAGAGACAUAGCAAACUUUAACUUAAAUAAACAGUUCCUUGAAAUUGGGCUUCAACAAGUUAAAUUAUAAUACAUAAAAAAAGAAAUAAUAUGUACCUAGUUGCAACUUCAAAGUCAAGCUACACAUGAAGAGGACUUACAGUUUGGGCUUAUAUAUAUCUGUAGCAACAGGAAGAACUCCAGGAGAACUCAGAAAUUUCAAUGCCAAACAUGUCACAAGAGGUCAGAGGUCACAUUUUUCUAACUGGGGUUUGACCCUAAAGUAAGCAAUAUAUGUAAUUAAUUGAUGCCCUAUUCUGAAACAUUAACUUGAAUAGGACUAGUCUACCAAUCUGCUGUUAGUCUAAUCAUGCUAGUCACAAUGUGAUCAUCUCUAAAAACACAAAGUCAAAGUUACUCAAGACAGAAAGGAAACAUAUAGGUUGACUAUUUUGAUUGCUUUUUCCCAGUAGUCAAUAAAAAAUAAGUUAACCUCCCCAAUCACACUGCCUAGCUAAUAAUGCCAGUAGAGACUAGUAAAAAAUCCAUAUCUGUUUCAAAAGCAUGUCUUUAAACUAUAACUAUUACUUAAAAUAAUUAUAAACUUCUAAUGCCAAAUUAGAUGUGCAUAAUUUGUUUGGAUUAAAGAAAAGGAAGUGAUAUAUGUAACUUGAUUUUAUUGGACAUUAAACUAUACAUGGCAUUUAGAGAAAUAACAUGACAAUGAGUUAUGAAUCAUAUUAGGAAUCUGCAUGAUUGAAGGCUUAAAUUUCACUUGUUACUGAUUCUUCUAUGAUUCUUCACCCUUUACAUCUUGAUUGGAAAUCUGUAAAACAAGGGCAUCAUCUGAAGCAUAAAAAUAUUUUAUAAAUAUUUAAUAGAAAUGUUAAGUAACUGAGUAUUUCAAAGCUUUAAUGACACCUAUCCAAAUUACAUUAAAGUGAUGAAUUCAUGUGACAACUAUAGUGUUUACAGACAUUUAAACUGAAAAGAGGACUACUAUUAUGUGUAUCUUCAUACAACCUUCAACUGACUACUGUAUUUCCUUUUUUAAUAAUAAAAUGACUCAAUUGUUUCAA